AUAUAUAUAUAUUGUAAUAAUUUAUUUAUUUAUUGGGCUUGCUGCCACCACCUUUAAUUCUUGCCAGUCAGGUCUGGCACCCAGGAGACAACACACCACCACAACGUCAAUCAAAAGAUUCUGUUUUUAUUCAGCACAAGGGGGAAAUAAAGGAUUGGCUAGCACACAACCCAAGAGCCUCGAGACUACAGGAUACCACGUGAAUUCCCUCUUUUCUCUAGUGACACUCAAGAUCAUUUACACAUAGUGGCACGUCAAGUCAUUUAGAACCUCCACAUCACACACGUGCAAAAAAGGAUAUCUUUCCCCUGAAAACUCUUUAGGCUUUAGUCACACCCACCCUCAUAUUCCCCCUCAAAUAAGAAGGAACAACUUUAUUUCAUACAACCACUAUUAAUAUGCAUAGGAAAAAGACUUAAAACCACUUAACUUGCCCCUUCCGACAUGGAGGGGGGUGAAUUCCACACCAUGUCAAUGCGGUAAGGAAGUUCCGCAGUUUUUCAGCACACUCGAACAGUCCGAGUGUCUCAGUAUGACGACAUAAUCCAAUCAUAAAUCAGCGCGAUCAAACAGUCCAACAAGAUCAGCUCAGUUGAUCAGUAACUUUCCUGCACGCUCAAGCAGUCCCAUAAGAUCAACGCUACAGCAACGUUCCACACUGCGGGCACACUCAAACAGUCCAAUUCAGUCAUCGUCCCGCACGCUCCAAUAGAAUCAGCGCUGCAGCAAAGUUCAACAAUGUAAAAGCACGUUCGAACAGUCCAGCUAAAUCAGUGCAGUGACGAAGUUCAGCAAUAUUCCAGCACGUAUUCCAGCAUAGUGGCAAACCACGGGACUCCUACCGCUCAACCUCUAACUACGCUCGCCCCGUUCCCACUACCUACCUAUCUUCGUCGCCGGCGGCCCUAACCGACCGCGAACGACACCCCCCUGCCCGAACAAUUGAGUGCCGCCGUUCUCUCUAGACAUAGGCUCCCCCACUCAUCUUUACUCCAUACUCCUUUUCAGCCUUUUUUUUCCCCGCCCCAAUCUCUAAUGUCCCCUCCCGGUGUUCCUCUUUACCAAUUAACUCCACCUAAUUAAUCAACACUACUACAUUUCCAAAACACCCCACAUUACAUUAUCCCCUCCCCCACUGGGGCAGACUCGUCCCCAAGUCACACAGGAGCCAUCUCAUAGUCCUGCGCCCAGGCAGGUCGACGUCACUCCCGUACUGGGCGCUGCGCUUUUAACUGAAAUAACGCCACUUCAGAGCCCUCCUUCAAUCCAUCUUGGUCCUCCUCUUGCAAUUCCGGCUCUUGGACCGGCUGUUGUCUAUGACCUGCAGGCACCGAUACUUCUUUCUGCAAAUUAGGGGAGACCUCUGGUGGCCGGCGAUGAACCCAACUGGCCCCCAAAGGGACCUCUGAGUGGUGCUGGGGCUCGGCCCCCACUUGAGGUAAAACCGUGGGUGCAGAUGUAUCUAUAACAGAAGAAAGAACAUAUGGUCUAAGUCUGUUAUGGUGUACCACAAUCUCAGGACCACCUUUCAUUAAAACCAUACGAUACAAUACAUCAGAAAGGCGUUCCAGAACUCUAUAAGGGCCCCUAUACUGCCUUGUAAUUUUGGCCAAAUGCCUCUUUUCUUUGCCUUAUCCCGCACCUACACCAAUUCCCCCACAGAAUAAAACUGCAACUCAGCCCGAAAAUCAAACAACUCCUUCUGGUGUUCCUCUUUACCAAUUAACUCCACCUAAUUAAUCAACACUACUACUUAUAUAUAUAUAUAUAUAUAUAUAUAUAUAUAUGUUGCUAAAGAUCAUCAAAUGAUUCUCAAGUCAAACUGUGUGUGUUUCAGGAUGCUGUGCCUUACAUUGCAUUACUGGGUUCUGGAGGAGGACAAAGAGCCAUGGUGGGUUUGCUGGGAUCCCUGGUUCAGCUCAAAAAAGCGGGUCUUCUGGACUGCAUCCUUUAUCUGGAGUCUCUGGAUCCACCUAGUGCAUGGCCUCCUUAUACCAAGAACCAGAUUGGUCGACCAAACUAGACACCGUGAAAGACAAAAUCAUCAAGAGACUCAACGGUCCUAAAGUUAGCUGGGGAGAUGCAUAUGCCAAACUGAAGAAAUAUUACUAUGGGAAAGACAUCUUCAGCUUGACUGAUAUCUGGGCAGUGAUAGUCAUCACAACAUAUGUGAAAGAGAUUUGUAACUGAUCAUAAUUAUUCACCAUCCUCUGCUAUAGAAAACAUACAUGCAGUUGGGUCUGAAGUCUAAGACCACAUUGGAAAUCUGAGAUUUAAAGGCUAAUCUGAAUAUAACUGAACUGCCCUGCUGAAAAAAACAGCUAAAACCAGGCUAGGCUGGUUGGCUGGUCUUAGCUGGUUUAAGCUGGAAGUAGCUGGUUUUAGCUGGUCUCCCAACCUGGCCAGGCUGGUUAGGCUGGUUUUAGCUGGUGGUCUAGGAAGUGGCAAAAACCCCUCUAAAACCAGCUAUGACCAGCCAAAUCCAGCCUGUUUUUUUUUUCAGCAGGGUGAACUCAAGCAUAGCUGAGAAUUAAUUGGUGAUUCAUUUUUUACGCUUGUUCUCUUUAUAAAGUCUCACUCACUGUAACCAUGAAGAGUUUCAGGUGCUUAUGGACUCCAUUCUAUAUUUUAUAUAUGUAAGCAAUAAGGUAUGAGAGGCUGUGCUGUAUUGUGAAAAAAUCAUGGCUGAAGGGCGUUGUUAGGCAUGGCGUGAAACAGACUGUCUGCUGUGCUGCUGAGUGGUUUGCAGUUACAGCUCUUCUCUGUUGGGAUCUAACUAUUACUCUCUGUUGUUUAAACUGCUAAAUAUAACUGAAUUAUUAGCAUAUUUCUGAUAUUAUCUAUCAAAACUUACUUGUACUUGAUAUAGUUCGCUUUUAAUCUAAAAUUGCUAACACAGUGCGUUGGCAUUCCAUUAACCUGUUAGCUUGUCACUCGCAUUUACUACUACACUCUCUCUCCCUCUCCAUUUUGUCUCCACUCUCGUUUACUACCAUCUCCUUUUCUCUCUGUAGCUCCGUUUCUCUCUCAAUAAAAUUCAAUUUAAUUCAAUUCAAAUGAGCUUCACUGAGAUGACUGUUGAACAUACCACAAUGUUGCCAAAGUAAUAAAUAUAUAUUAUACAAUCAUACAGAUAAAUUAAAAAUAAUAAUAAUAAAUAAACACAUACAGUACAUACAGUGCCUUUACCCCUUUUAAAUAGUUACUUUAUUUGUCAUACAGCCUGAAAUCAAACCCCAUUACAAAUAACUUUUCCUGUUUUAUUUACAAUUUUGGUCUUACAACAUCAAACCAAUGAAAGAAAAAACAAAACCAGUUUUGCAAUGUAUAAAAAACAAAAAAACUAGAAUAACAGGGUUGGAAAAGUCAUUAGUCCCUUGAUGUAAUACUUUGUAGAGCCUCCUUUUGCUUUAAUUACAGCCAUCAGUCAUUUUAGAUACUGUAUGUCUGUACUACCUUUGCACACAUUGACUGGGGAAUAUUUGCCCAUUUUCCCUUCAAUCCUGACUAAUUGCAGUUCCAGCAGAAGAGAAACAGACCCAAAACAUAAUGCUGCCACCAGCAUGCUUCACAGUAGGGAUGGUGUGUUUUGGGUGGUUUGCUGUGUUUGCUUUUCACUAAACAUAGCACUUGGAGUUCAGUCCAAAAAGGUCAAUUUUGGUCUCAUCAGACCAUUUCACCUUUUGCCAGAAGGAAUCAGGCUCUUCCAAAUGUGUUUUUGCAUAGCGCAAACGAGAAAGGCUUCUUUCGUGCCACCCUGCCAUACAGGCCAGCUUUCUGUAAGCUUGUGAGAUAGUUGUCACAUGCAUAGAUUGACCAGACCCAGCCGUAAAGCCUUGUAAGUCCUUCAAAGUUGCCUUUGGCCUCCUGGUAGCAUUUCUUAUCAAUGUUCUCCUGGCUCAUCUACUUUGGAUGGCCGGCCUGAGGCGAUGUGCAUGGUGGUGCCAUACGAUUUCCACUUCUUAAUGAUGCUCUGAACAGGGAUAGCUAAAGCCUUUGAAAUGUUUUUGUAGCCUUCUCCUAACUUGUGCCUUUUUACAACUUUAUCCCGAAGGUCGUUUGAAGGCACUUUCCCAACCAUGGUGCAUUCUUUGUCGAACAAUGCACUACUAACAGUGGGAUCUUCAAGAAACAGCUUGUUUUAUUCUGUAGUAAUCAACACCAAUACUAUUGAUGUCAGGUGGGGCAAUGAGCCUGGUGUUUAAUCUGGAAGUUGAUUGCUUGCACCUGAGCAAGUAUAAAGGUAUACUGUAUAUAUAUAUUUGUACUUUAAAGAUGGGGCUUAUAAUGUGUACAUGCAGCUCAAAAAAAAGUGUAAUGUGACAAAAGGUAAAAGUUUUCGGGUAUGAUGAUUUUCUAUUCAUACGGACCAUGUGAUGUCACAGUGCUUUAUCGCCGCCAUUUUUUGUCCGGGACAGCUGCGCUACCUGUUUCAGUCUUUAAACUUCUGCUCUAUCUCUGCUUUUACCUCUGGCUUGCUUAUUUGGGGACACUUAAUUUUCAGAGAUAUCAUUGAAUUGAUUGCACAGAUACUAUUUGAACUGAACUAAGCUGGAUGUUGACAUCACCGAAUCAAUGAUGAACUGACUUUAAAUAAAAAUUGAGUGUUUACUGUUGUGCUUUUGCCUCACUGACACACUCAUUAAUACUGUAAAACUGCUUUGACACAAUCUGUAUUGUUAAAAGCGCUAUAAAGAAAGGUGACUUGACUUCAGCUGUGAUUUAUUCACAAUACAACACAGCCUUUCGUACCUUAUUGCUUUUAUAAAACGGUUACCACACAAUUAAAAUUAUUAAAACCAAAAAUGUAUGUACUUAUAUGUUACUUUUGUUUGAACCAAGUUUGUUAAAUGCUGUCCUUCUGUCAAAAAAUUGUUUCUGGCAGUAACAGUAAAUGUUCCAAUGUAACACGCUUCAUUUUAUGGGGCUCAAAUAAAAACAGAGAAUUGGAACUCUU